UAAUACGCCUUCAUUUUACCUUCACUCGGCAUAUCGUGUUCAAGUAAAUAUUUUGAAUGUUUCUGAUAGUGCCUAAAUUUUAGUCAUGCAAGAUUACUUUGCAUUCAUCGCGGGGAAUGAUAUAUUUCCUAUUAAUCUUCUCUCCCAACACGAAAAGGGGAUAACUAAGAGGUAUAAGAAAGACUUGAACUGCUUCUGAAAAUAGUCAAAAUAUUUUCAGCUGUGUAGCUUUUACGCAUAUCGCGAAUAAAUCGCGAUUUCUAGUUUUUAUCGUUCGAGAGGUAGACGGUUAUAAUGGGAUUAGGGCCAACAGUUUCCGUCUGAUAGGAAACUCACGCGACAUAAAAAAGCAAAACAGAACUGCUCUACAUGUCUUGGGUGUUAAAUUUAAACAAUCCAUUAUCGAGAUUACACAGUUGAAAGGUUGUAAGACAAUUUUGGGGUGUUAUUUCGCCGCUUUUGCUCUUUGUCGUGAGUUUGAUUUUGUGGAGAGUUCAAGUUAGUGUAUCACCCUGGCUUUCCCCCAUCUUAAAUACUUGACAUAAAGCUCCUUAUCUCACUGAAAGAUGGCUUUUACACAAAAUAAUCAACAGUGAAAUUCUAGUGUACAUAGCAGGCAGUUCGAGUGCAUCUUUACGGCAUAACCUGGAAAGGUUUUUUUCGUUGUCAUUUCCGGAAUUUACACCUUAACGCGCUCCACUAAAUAGCCACAGAUGUAGAGCAACUCCAAGAAUUAUGAACCUUAAGUGGGAGCUGUAAUGAACACCAGUCUGAAGACUCUUAAGCUUAGAGCUAAGAACGGUCUUUUGUGGAGCUGUUAAAGUGAUUAUAACGUGCCAUUCUUAAUGUUUGACCUUUCGACAGAUUAGACGUUUUAAGUCGUUUUAAGUAUUUUCAAGAAGACGAGGAGAUAGUCUAAGACUGCCACUGAGUGCAAAGUGAAAAGAGAUAACAGAAGGCAAAGGUCUAACUUUAUCAACCUGAUAAUUUGUUAUCUAAAAAUUCAUUUACUCCUAAACCGAAGUUUUUUGUCAUUUUUAUCAAAUAAUAAGCAUUCUUGAAGUACUUCGUGGGCGUAAAUAAUCACAAACAUAUGUUUACUGAUGUGUUUUAAAUGAUGGUUUGUAGAAGCUAUUGAUGAUAUUGAAUAAACUAUAAGGCACAUUGAAGUGAGUGAGAAAAUCUAAUCAACGAAAACUAAUGAAACAUUUACGCUGUGCGGUCCUACAAUUUCAUCAAACCGAUAAGAUUUGCCCUGGAGACAUUUCAAAAUGGCUAAUCUGUUCCUCGGGCGUGUGUGUUCUAACAGAAAGUUCGCCAUGUAACUUGUUUCUGAAACAGUUUCGCUGGGUUCCAGGAGUUUAUACAAGGAAAUUUUACUUUAGUAAGUUUUACUAUAACUUGUCAUCGAUCUGAGAAACAAUUGAUUAGUUUAAACGUUUUAAAACUUUCAUCAUAGUGUUUUCACCACUCACAGAAAAAAGUCCUCAUCACGAAAAGCAUUCUCAAGUAAUUUCUUAAUGAAUAAAGCCUUAGUUUGAUUAA